rnacentral:rRNA from 1 species
UUUUAUUUGAGAGUUUGAUCCUGGCUCAGGAUGAACGCUGGCGGCGUGCCUAACACAUGCAAGUUGAGCGAUUUACUUCGGUAAAGAGCGGCGGACGGGUGAGUAACGCGUGGGUAACCUACCCUGUACACACGGAUAACAUACCGAAAGGUAUGCUAAUACGGGAUAAUAUAUUUGAGAGGCAUCUCUUAAAUAUCAAAGGUGAGCCAGUACAGGAUGGACCCGCGUCUGAUUAGCUAGUUGGUAAGGUAACGGCUUACCAAGGCGACGAUCAGUAGCCGACCUGAGAGGGUGAUCGGCCACAUUGGAACUGAGACACGGUCCAAACUCCUACGGGAGGCAGCAGUGGGGAAUAUUGCACAAUGGGCGAAAGCCUGAUGCAGCAACGCCGCGUGAGUGAUGAAGGCCGUCGGGUCGUAAAACUCUGUCCUCAAGGAAGAUAAUGACGGUACUUGAGGAGGAAGCCCCGGCUAACUACGUGCCAGCAGCCGCGGUAAUACGUAGGGGGCUAGCGUUAUCCGGAUUUACUGGGCGUAAAGGGUGCGUAGGCGGUCUUUCAAGUCAGGAGUGAAAGGCUACGGCUCAACCGUAGUAAGCUCUUGAAACUGGGAGACUUGAGUGCAGGAGAGGAGAGUGGAAUUCCUAGUGUAGCGGUGAAAUGCGUAGAUAUUAGGAGGAACACCAGUUGCGAAGGCGGCUCUCUGGACUGUAACUGACGCUGAGGCACGAAAGCGUGGGGAGCAAACAGGAUUAGAUACCCUGGUAGUCCACGCUGUAAACGAGGAGUACGAGGUUUCGGUGGUUACCCCCUUCGGUGCCGCAGCUCUCGCAUUAAGUACUCCGCCUGGGAAGGACGCUCGCAAGAUUGAAACGCAAAGGAAUUGACGAGGACCCUCACAAGUAGCGGAGCAUGUGGUUUAAUUCGAAGCAACGCGACGACCCUUACCUAAGCUUGACAUCCCAAUGACAUCUCCUUAAUCGGAGAGUUCCCUUCGGGGACAUUGGUGACAGGUGGUGCAUGGUUGUCGUCAGCUCGUGU